GCGGCAUCGAUUACUACUUUAACAAUGGCGAGCCACUUUCCUUUUCAGUAGUUCCCGUCAAAUAGGAAGAAUUUAUUAGGUGAUUUUGUAAUACUUAUAAUUCUAGGUUUAUUCGGUUUGUCAGUUAACUUGUUACAAGCAAUUGUCCAAAAUGAAUUUACAAGUUAAAUAAGAGAGAGGGUGAUGAAAAUUGAGAUUGUUAAUUUCUUUCAAAAAUUUAAAAUAUAACUUUUCUUAAUUGGACCUGCGUAUAUUCUCGUACUUGAAAAGAAGAUACAGAUUCGAAACGAUUAAAGACAUUUACGACAUGCAAAGCGCUCGUGUCUAAGGAUUGAAAAAUUGUGAGCAUUCAAAACCUUUUCUUACUAUCUUAAUGAACUUAUUUUUUACUAAAUAUCGAAAGGAUCAAUGUGUGAAAACAUCGUACCUUUGAACGUGCAAAUGGGAUUUUAAAUUAUAGCACUUUAAAGAACUUAUAAAAAUUGGACUCUUUAUUUUUUGAUUUUAUAGCCUAUUGAUUUCAAUAGUGAUCAUGAGAAGCGUAUACAUCUUUUGAAGACUACGCAUUUUGGAAAAAACAUAUGCACACAUCCAGUAUCAAACAACAACAAUAUCUCAAUGUAGAGUACAGUAUUUAUUAAUCAAUAUUCCAUAAUAUAAUCCAAUUUGAUGUACUUCGUUGUGCAAAAAGAUUUUUUCUUUU